ACUCCCGGGAGUUACAAGAAACAAUGGACACAAGCUAGUGGAGGGUAGUUUCAGGCUAGACAUUAGGAAGUGCUAUUUCACUGUCAGGGCAGCUAGGACCUGGAACCAACUUCCAAAAGAAGUGGUGCUGGCUCCUACCCUGGGGGUCUUUAAAAGUGUCACAACCAAAUUAAGUAGUGCCCAUGUCACAAACAAGUAAUAACCAUUUAAAACAGUUUUUUUCUGCACUAGGUUAACUAAGGGUUAACAAUAAUGAUAGUAACCGCUUUUUUCUGCGCAUGUCAAAAAGAAAUUUAUUGCUGCGCCACUAACAGAGAUAAAAACUUUUGCCUUCUUUGCUUUAUAUAAAUCAUUAUAAUUGGUCAAAGAAAACAAGGAGUAACCCUGUGAAAAUAACACCCUAGCAAAGACCGCUAGAUAAUUGGCGAUUCUAAUUAGAUUUAUGAUGUGGCGAAAAACAAUUGGCUAUCAUACAAACAAAACCCGCUUACAUUUUUCGCAAAGUCGAAGACAACUCUGCCCACACCUUGGAGUAAUCUGACAAUUUGAUCAGUUGUCAGCGUCUUCCCGCCGCGACCUCCCUGGCGUACCCUUGCCCCACAUGCCCGAUAAGCCGACCGCCAGCCCGUAUAUAUAUAUCUGCAGAAUGACUGAACAACGAUCUCUAAGCUGUAACUAACUAAGUAUCUCUGACCUCCGUCUUACACCACCUUGACCUGAAGAUUACAAGCAAUGACCCCCGAAGACUGCAGACCACAAAGCCAGAAGAUCACGUCCUACUAAUUCCAGCCUGCCAAUGGGACAAGGAGGAUGACCUUUACGUGUGACUCAGCGGAAUCCAUAGGCUAGCAUGGACAGCUAUUACUAUAAAGAAUGAACACAAAGAAAAGGCUUUGGGGUCUGUCCACCUGCAAGAAGGAGUUUUGGGCACAUCCAGCAAGACCUGACUCCAUUCCUUGUGGUUUGUCUGCUGGCCACCAGACUGACCCAAACAUCUUUAGAACUUGGUAACACCUUAACCUUCACAGAACUGUCUAACUAUCAGUGUGUGCUUUUUUUUUUUGUAUGAAUGAAUGAAUGAGUGAAGCAGAUAACCUUACUGUUCUUUAUUCCUUUUAUGUUUUAUGUUCCAAUAAAUGUGGUGCUGUGCCUUAUCCCCUGAUAA